rnacentral:rRNA from 1 species
UACGUAGGGUGCGAGCGUUGUCCGGAAUUACUGGGCGUAAAGAGCUCGUAGGUGGUUUGUCGCGUUGUCCGUGAAAACUCACAACUCAAUUGUGGGCGUGCGGGCGAUACGGGCAGACUGGAGUACUGCAGGGGAGACUGGAAUUCCUGGUGUAGCGGUGGAAUGCGCAGAUAUCAGGAGGAACACCGGUGGCGAAGGCGGG